rnacentral:miRNA from 1 species
CUUGGGAUUUUCGAGUACAAUUGC